rnacentral:rRNA from 1 species
CUAUCGGUGUCCGAUUAAGCCAUGCGAGUCGAGAGGUGUAAGACCUCGGCAGACUGCUCAGUAACACGUGGAUAACCUGCCCAAGGGUCCGGGAUAACCCCGGGAAACUGGGGAUAAUACCGGAUGGGUCACCAGUGCUGGAAUGCUUGGUGGUCGAAAGGUGACGCCUUUGGAUGGGGUCUGCGGCGGAUUAGGUUGACGCCGGUGUAACGUACCGGCGUGCCUGUAAUCCGUACGGGUUGUGGGAGCAAGAGCCCGGAGAAUGGAUUUCUGAGACACGAAUUCAGGCCCUACGGGGCGCAGCAAGGCGGCGAAAACUUCUACAAUGCAGGCAACUGCCGAUAGGGGGGACAAUCGAGUGGCCAUCCACCUUGGGGUGGUCUUG